rnacentral:tRNA from 1 species
GCCUUUGUGGUGUAGUGGUCAGCACCCUCGAUGCGUAAUCGAGAGGUCCGUGUUUCGACUCCCGGUGAAGACG